rnacentral:rRNA from 1 species
CCCGUAACGAGCGCAACCCUUGUCCUUAGUUACCAGCACGUUAUGUGGGCACUCUAAGGAGGACUGCCGGUGACAAACCGGAGGAAGUGGGGAUGACGUCAAGUCAUCAUGGCCCUUACGGCCUGGGCUACACACGUGCUACAAUGGUCGGUACAAAGGGUUGCCAAGCCGCGAGGUGGAGCUAAUCCCAUAAAACCGAUCGUAGUCCGGAUCGCAGUCUGCAACUCGACUGCGUGAAGUCGGAAUCGCUAGUAAUCGUGAAUCAGAAUGUCACGGUGAAUACCGUUCCCGGGCCUU